GCUGGGUGUGGUGGUGGGCACCUGUAAUCCCAGCUACUCGGGAGGCUGAGGCAGGAGAAUCACUUGAACCCGGGAGGCGGAGGUUGCAGUGAGCUGAGAUUGUGCCACUGCACUCCAGCCCGGGCGACAGAGUGAGACUCUGCCUCAA
rnacentral:SRP_RNA from 1 species